UACGGAGGAUCCAAGCGUUAUCCGGAUUUAUUGGGUUUAAAGGGUGCGUAGGCGGAUAUGUAAGUCAGCGGUGAAACUCACAGGCUCAACCUGUGCCGUGCCGUUGAAACUGUGUAUCUGGAAUGCGGAUGCUGUGGGAGGAAUGUGUAGUGUAGCGGUGAAAUGCAUAGAUAUUACACAGAACACCGAUUGCGAAGGCAUCUCACAAAGCCGUUAUUGACGCUGAGGCACGAAAGUGUGGGGAUCAAACA
rnacentral:rRNA from 1 species